ensembl:lncRNA
UGAAUAACUGCAGUCUAAUGCAACAGCUGGAGUUGUAACAUCUGUCCUGAUAUUGAUCAUGAAGUAUUGAUCAGAAUACUUAUGGUUAGCAGUCAUCCCUGAAGUUUUACAUUAAAAUCUUUACUUGUGUUGUGAACUUUGGUAAGAAGCAGAAACGUUAGCGUUGCCAUGGAUACAUGAGUGUUAAAUUCUGUCCAUGUUUCCAUUUUGGGAAAUGCAGUCCAGUUCCAGAAUGUGGAGGAAUUUAGUCUCACAAUCACAGACAACAAAUAUUAUCUGAAAGUCAGGUUAUUGUUGUUUAUCAGCACAAUACAAAAAGAUUAAUGUUAGAAAUAUUCCAGUUCAGACUCUAGAAUAUGAUGAUUUAUGUAAAUUUACCUCAAUAAUAUGAAUGUUCAGGUUAAGAUUGUACAGUGAUAUUUAUUAUGCAAGUUUAGCUGAUUAAAGUUUAUGACUCUGCACUAAAAUAUUAUUUAAAUUGGCAUCAUUAUUAUAAUAUUUAGGGUCAGACCCUACAGUAUUGAGAUUAAGAAAUCAAAUAUUCUAUAAAAUGUAAAUACACUGAACUCAUUUGGAUAUAUUUGAGACUCUACAAUAUUAUUUGACACAAAUCUAAAUCAAAAUUUUAAUAAUUUUCACGCCAAACAUUUACUGGACUGAUUUAAAUAUUAAAAUCACUCCUUUCCAAUCCUCUGCUGUACGUUCAAACCUGAGGCCUUAAAUAGAAACACACAAGUAUCUGAUUGAAGGAACUUCUGCAGAGUCCUGGUUCCAGAACAUGAUGAUAGAAUUAUAGACAAACUUUAACAAAAGCUGCCUGAGAGUUUACAGGUUUUUAUGUUGGAUUUCUUCAGUAAUUUAAAGAGAGUUAUCAGCAAAAAUCAAGUGUUCAUUUGAUGAACUUCAUUUCCUAAAACAUCCAGACUUGGAGCUCAUAUCUUUGGCAGCUGUAAAGUUUCUGCUCCUUCAAAGUUGACAACACAAUGAAUGAAUUCCUAAAACACUCUCAAUGCUGGAGAGCAUUUGAUGCUGAAGCAGUGACCAGUUUUUCUGUUUCUUCUCUGGAGAUGCACAAUGAGGGACGUCUGCAGAGACUGAGAAAGAGUCUCACCACAUCCUGACAUGAGGAAAAAGACUUUAUUGAAGACUACAAUGAGAAAAACUAUCAGACAGCAGACGGCUGCAUUCAAGGCUACAGGAGGAGUCCUACGAGGACGAGCCGGUCCACCUGAUGGCGGCCAGUCGCUGCGGUUCAAAGCCAACACCGACUACGUGGACUUCUACUGGACCACAUGGAGGCCUUCAAACCGGACCAACAAGUUCAGCGACUCCCCGACUCGUGGGUCUGAGGACACCGCCGAGCCUCGGUCCAGCCGGCCUCCUGUCUGUGGGUGUUUGAGUGCUGAGAGGUUUGUGGAUGCACGUGAACGUUCUGUGUUGAAACAGCAGCUUUGGACUCAGUAACGCCAGGAAAAACCAAGAGC